GACGAACGCUGGCGGCGUGCCUAAUACAUGCAAGUCGAGCGAAGAGUCUCUGCUGCUUGCACUUGCACGACUUAGCGGCGAACGGGUGAGUCAUACGUAAAGAACCUGCCUCAUAGACUGGGACUCCUAUAGGAAACGAUAGCUAAUACCGGAAAACACUAUUUCUCGGUGGGGGGUGAUUUAAAAGGUGGGUAUGCUAACAACAUGAGGUGGCUUUGCGGUGCAUUAGCUUGGUGGCGGGGUAAUGCCCCACCAAGGCGACGAUUCAUAGCCGACCUGAGUGGGUGGUCGGCCACACUGGGACUGAACCACGGCCCAGGCUCCUGCGGGAGGGAGCAGUAGGGUACCUUCCGCAGUGGGCGAGAGCCUGGCGGAACAAGGCCGCGUGAGUGAAAAAGGAUUUCGGUUCGUAAAGAUCUGUUGUUAGGGAAGAAUGGCUUUGUCGUAAGAAUACAUGUAAGUGACGGUACCUAGUCAGGAAGCCACGGCUAACUACGUG
rnacentral:rRNA from 1 species